UUCUCCCGCAUCAGCCUCCCAAGUAGCUGGGAUUACAGGCGUGCGCCACCACGCCCGGCCCGUGGUGAUUGUUUUUUGACAAACACGCCAAUUUAAUUGAGAGAGGAAAUGAAGGUUGAUUUUUGGUUUUCUGAAAAAAUGGUGCUAAGAACGGCUGGAUAUCUGUUCGGAAAACAGUGAAUCUUAACUCUUGUUUUACCCUGUAUAAACCUAAAUGCAAAAGCUAAACUAGAAGUUAUAGAAAGAAACAUGGGGGAAGUCUUUGCAACUUUGGGGUAGGCAAAGAUUUCUUAGUAUGGAUACACAAGGCACUAGCCAUAAAGAAAAACAUUAAAAUUUAGACUUCACCAAAAUUUAAAGCUUCAACUCUUUGGAAGAGUUGAGAAAAUGAAAGAGCAGUUAAAGAAAGGGAGAAAAUACUUCUGUCCUUCAAAGGACUUAAAAAAAAAUUUUCAGCCCUCCUCUGAUUUCAAAGGACCUUUGACCAGAGUAUGUAAAAUUCUCUCAUAACUAAGCAAACAACCCGGUUAACCACUGGGAAGGGAUCUGGACAGACAUUUCACCAAUAUGGGUGGAAUGGCCAGUUAACCACCGGGAGAGCAUCUGGACAGACGUUUCACCGAGGUGGAUGGAAUGGCCAGUUGAGCACAUGGAAAGACGCCCAGCAUCUCCAGUCAUAGGAGAAGGCAGAUUAAGGCCAUGGGGAGCUGACACUGCGGUCCCACUAGCAUGGCUGAAAUUCAGAAGCCCGGAGUGUGGCAUGAGGAUGUGGAUCAGCUGGAUCUCAUCCAUCGCUGUGAAGUUGUGUAGCCACUCCACAAACACGUGGGGCAAACAGCCGAGCCGGGAGAAGGGAAGACGUGUUCAAAGAUUUAUAUGUGGCCAGGCUCAGUGGCUCACGCCUGUAAUCCCAGAACUUUAGGGGCCAAGGCUGGGGGAUCGCUUAAGCCCAGGAGUUUGAGACCAGCCUAGGCAACAUAGGGAAACCCCAUC